ensembl:snRNA U2 U2 spliceosomal RNA
AGCCUUUCUCAGCCUUCUGGCUAAGAUCAAGUGUUGUAUCUGUUCUUAUCAAUUCAGUGACUGUUGUUUGUAGCGGUGAGCUAAUCCAGCCUGGAUUGUAGUCUGGAUAGAAUAAUCGGAUCCUAGAGUUGGAAGAGAACCAGGAUAAAUUUUGUUAGUGGUUCUUAGUGUUGUUCUAGGACUCUGGGUUCUUCCCACCUGUGGCAAGGGAAU